rnacentral:rRNA from 1 species
AGUGAACGCUGGCGGUAUGCCUAACACAUGCAAGUCGAACGGCCGCACAGUAAGAUCUUUCUUCUACGGUUGGCGACUUGCGGACGGGUGACGCAUACAUCGCCUUCUACUUUUUCGUGGAUGACUACGUAGGGCAACUUCUGCUACUACCUCAUAUGACCUACGGGUUAGUGCAGUGGUUCUUCGCACCUUUCGCGAUUGUAUGAGCCGAGGUCGGAUUAGCUAGUUGGCGGGGUAAAGGCCCACCAAGGCGACGAUCCGUAGCUGGUCUGAGAGGAUGAUCAGACACACUGGAACUGAGACACGGUCCAGACUCCUACGGGAGGCAGCAGUGGGGAAUAUUGGACAAUGGGCGCAAGCCUGAUCCAGCCAUACCGCGUGGGUGAAGAAGGCCUUCGGGUUGUAAAGCCCUUUUGUUGGGAAAGAAAAGCAGCAGGUGAAUAACCGGAUGUUCUGACGGUACCCAAAGAAUAAGCACCGGCUAACUUCGUG